GAUGAACGCUGGCGGCGUGCCUAAUACAUGCAAGUCGAGCGAACAGACGAGGAGCUUGCUCCUCUGACGUUAGCGGCGGACGGGUGAGUAACACGUGGAUACCUACCUAUAAGACUGGGAUAACUUCGGGAAACCGGAGCUAAUACCGGAUAACAUGUUGAACCGCAUGGUUCAACAGUGAAAGACGGUCUUGCUGUCACUUAUAGAUGGAUCCGCGCCGCAUUAGCUAGUUGGUAAGGUAACGGCUUACCAAGGCAACGAUGCGUAGCCGACCUGAGAGGGUGAUCGGCCACACUGGAACUGAGACACGGUCCAGACUCCUACGGGAGGCAGCAGUAGGGAAUCUUCCGCAAUGGGCGAAAGCCUGACGGAGCAACGCCGCGUGAGUGAAGAAGGUCUUCGGAUCGUAAAACUCUGUUAUUAGGGAAGAACAAAUGUGUAAGUAACUAUGCAUGUCUUGACGGUACCUAAUCAGAAAGCCACGGCUAACUACGUG
rnacentral:rRNA from 1 species